UGCUUAGCCGUAAACCUAGGUAGUUAAAUAACAAAACUACUCGCCAGAGAACUACUAGCCACUGCUUAAAACUCAAAGGACUUGGCGGUGCCCUAGACCCUCCUAGAGGAGCCUGUUCUAUAAUCGAUAAACCACGAUACACCUCACCCCUUCUAGCUUUACAGUCUAUAUACCGCCAUCGUCAGCUCACCCCAAUAGGGCUCAAAAGUGAGCAAGAUCAUUAAACCAUAAAAACGUUAGGUCAAGGUGUAGCAUAUGAAGGGGGAAGCAAUGGGCUACAUUUUCUACAAUAGAACAUAACGGAUUGUCUAUUGAAACAUAGACAUGAAGGAGGAUUUAGUAGUAAAUUAAGAAUAGAGAGCUUAAUUGAAAUAGGCAAUAGGGUGCGUACACACCGCCCGUCACCCUCCUCAAUAAAGUAACCUUCCAUACCUAAUAAGAAUACGCCAAAAAGAGGAGAAAAGUCGUAACAUGGUAAGUGUACUGGAAAGUGCACUUGGACAAUC
rnacentral:rRNA from 1 species